ACUACUACUACUACUACUACUACUACUACUACUACGCUUCACAAGAAUGAUUCCACAUCUCAUGGAAAUACGUGAGCGCAUCGUAUGUGUGCAUGUGUUACAGUAUACAUAUAUAUAUUUUUGUUGUUGUUGUUGUUGUUGUUGUUGUUAGCGAGCUCCGAAGAGCAGACGUAGGUUCCCCGGCUGGUCGCGUCUUCGAACCGAUUUCAAUUUCAGCUUGGAACUAUUUUCUUUCGAUUGUCAGCUUUAGUUAAUGCUCUUGAAAACAGGAACUUUCCACUAUCCAAUUCUUUCAACCGUAACUCUGAUGAAUCAUUAUUAUUUGUUAUUAUUAUUGUGUAAGAGACGCUCAUGCACUUUGACCAUACCGAUGCAGUUUCGCUCCCUAGUUAAAACGAUUUACAUUUCACUUACGUUAUAUUAAUACCGUUAGGAAAAAAAAAAGUUUUUAUCUUAUGGAGAUUUUUUUUUUAAUAAAAUUUUUGUCGUUACGUAUUUAAAGACAAAGUGAUAUAAUUUCUAACACAGACACGGACCACAAAUUUGGGGAAGUAAACAAUCGAUUAAAUCGACCCCGAUACUUUACUGAUUACAUUAAUUUCAUCGACCCCAGAAAGGUGAAAGGCAAAGUUGACCUCGGUGGAAUUUGAACUCUGAACAUGAAGAGCUGUAGCUAAAUACCAAAAGGCAUUUUUUCAUCCGACGCUCAAACGAUUCUUAUGAGAGAAAGAUUAAAAAGAAUGUGAGUAGCCAGUGGGACUCGAGCUCUCAUUUAUCCCCUUUUGAUGCUUCGAUGUGCAAUUUUCGUGUUCCUAUAUAAUAGCGAACAGAUGUAAAUACCCUCUCAGCUCCAACACUCUUGACCAAGCGGAACAUCCACAAUGUGACACCCGGAUAGAGAGAGAGAGAGAAAUAGAGGGAGAAGAGAGAGAGAAACGGCGGGAGAAGAGAGACAGACAGACAUAUGUACUAGCAAAUGUGCAUGAGGUUUCUCCAUGAUUGAUACCACGAAUAUUUAAACAACGAUGAUAAUUCGGAUUGUCAACACAGACACGAUGACCACUAAUUUAUCAAGUUUGGAAGGAUGAAACGCAAUGUUGAUCCCGGUGAGAAUUUGAACUCGGAACGCAAAAGGAUGUAAACCUCAUGUCCAGUAUUCUACUGGUUCUGCCAUCCGAAGCGUACUCUAGCCUUCUCCCGUUUAAUGAACAUUUUAAAAACCUUCAAACGUUACCAUAAUAUCUUUCUCUUGCAAGUAAUUUAUUGGCUAAACAGCUGCUAUAUGUUGUUGUUCUCUCUGUCCUUUAUACACCUAACGCACAUCUAUCCGUGAUAAUUUAGGGACGCAUAUUCCCGUUGCCAGACGUGUUUCUUCAUCAAAAUUUGAAAAUUUGAACCGAUACCUCCAAUACAACAGAUAUAUAUGCAUGUAUAUGUGUGUGUGUGUGUAUUCACGUAAUUUAUUGAGAUUGGCGGUACUUUGCAUAUGACAACAGUCCAGUUAUGAACAAACGAGGAUUGCUGAUGGUAAAACACAAGAAUGCAUUCGAAAUGUGUUCCAUACUACCCAUGAGAGAAUAGAGAAUCGUUUACAUAUGACACUAGCAACGCUCGUACAGACAUACAUUAAUGUCAAUCAUAAACUAGAAAACUGAGCCAACUCGCCCUUUAGCACGAUAUUGAAAAUUAAUCAGCGAACAAUACACAACUCGGGACAGAUAAGGUGUCUUAUUAUCGCUUUUCUUUGAGAUGGCUUCACCGGGUACUCGUGAAAUUAACAUUUCGACAUCUUUAAGAUUUAAAGUGUACCGGCUACAGCAUAAAUAUUUACCCAAUUAAUUUUUAGGUUUUGGUUAAUGAAAGGUUACAGGUUGAUUAUUAUGUUUAUUGACAAUGUUUUGCAUAUAGGCGCAGGAGUGGCUGUGUGGUAAGAAGCUUGCUUCUCAACCACAUGGUUCCGGGUUUAAUUCCACUGCGUGGCACCUUGGGUAGGUGUCCUCUACUAUAGCCUCGGGCCGACCAAAGCCGUGAGUGGAUUUAGUAGACAUAAACUGAAAGAAGCCCGUUGUGUGUGUGUGUGUGUGUGUGUGUGUGUGUGUGUAUGUAUAUAUAUAUAUAUGUAUGUAUGUAUGUAUACAUAUGUAUGUAUGUAUUUGUGUGUCUGUAUUUGUCCCCCCCCCCAAUCGCUUGGCAACCGAUGUUGGUGAGUUUACGUCCUCUAAACGCUUCGGCAAAAAGGGCUGAUAGAAUAAGUACUAGUAUGGCCGCAGUCAAAUGACUGAAACAAGCAAAAGAAUAUAUUUACAAUUCGAAAUAACUACCCUUCGGUUUCACCAUAGCCCUUACUCUUUUCUCAACUGAAGUUUGAAUAAAAUGUAUAUGUCGCACCCGGUAUACCAUGGUAAAAAAAAAAAAAGUAAAAUGGUCUUCUUUCCCAACCAAUGGUUCUGAGUUCAGUUACACUGCGUGUCACCUUGGGCGAGCAUGUUAAACUAUAGUCCAGGGUCGACCAAAGUGUUGUGAGUGGAUCUGGUGGACGGAAACUGAAAGAAGCCGUCGUACAUAUAUUAUUAUGUGUGCGUGUGUGUGUGUUUCAGUUAUUAGACUGCUACCAUGCUGGGGUACCAUCUUGAGGAAUGAAUCGACCCUAGUACUUUUUUCAAGUUACCGGACGUAAACAUACCAACACCGGUUGCUAAGCGGUGGUGGGUGACAAACACGGACACACACACGGUGGACUUCUUUCAGUUUCCAUUUACCAAAUCCACUCACAAGGCUUUGGUCCGCCCGAGGCUAUAAUAGAAGACAAUUGCCCUAGGUGCCAUGCAGUGGGACUGAACCCGGAACCAUGUGGUUGGGAAGCAAGCGCCUUACCACACAGCCACAGCUAUAUAUAUAAGGUAAAGAAUGACCAUGGAAUUGCACCUAGGAAGUUCCCCUCCAAGGCACAAGUCCGGUCAAGGUUGUUUAUGGAAGACCAGCAGUCGCCCAUGCAUGCCAACGUCGCAACUCAUUUCUACAGAUGAGUGAACUGGAGCAAUUUGAAAUAAGUGACUUGCUCAAGAGCACAACACAGCUUGGUCCAGUAAUCGAACUCAUUACCUCAUGAUUGUGAGCCCGACGCUCUAACUACUGAGCCAUGCGUGCGUGUGGGGGGGGGGGGGAAGAAGAAUUUAAAAUGCUAUGUAAAUGUAAAAACUGAAGACUACACAACUGCACGUGCGUGUGCGCCUGUGUAGUAAUUGAGUUCAGCAACAACCGCAACAAUUACUUCGAGUAUACAACAAAAAUCGGAAAAAGAAUUUACACAUAAAACGCAAAAAGCACUCUAUACCGAUGUUGAGUAUAACUGUUUAAUAUGGUUAAGAUUAUUUCUCUGAUCCUACUCCGAGUUUCGCGAUUCCUCCGUUAAUCACGCAACGUUGGAGUGAUCAGCAAGAAAUCAGCUAAUUUUGAAUAGCAACACAAAGCAAUCCCAGCACUACAAUCUAGAAUAUUUGAAGUUUCGGAUUAGGCACCCCAUACUUCAAGGGGAAGUGUGUGUGUGUGCCACUCUCUCUCUCUCUCUCUACCCCCAAAGCACGCCUGUGUCUCAUUCUAAGGAAAUUACAACUCUGAAGAUAUAUAUUUUUUUUUAAAGCUUGCAAAACUUGCAGUUUUUAAAAAUCAAAUUUGCCCUCACCCUCAUCUACUUCCGUAAUUUUUCCAUUUCCCAUGAGGUAUGAGGCACCUAUUGUGAAACUUUGGCGAACAUUUAUAAAUAUUAAAUCAAAACAAAGACAUUUAUUUGUUGUUAGUUCUUUAAUGACAAUCGCUUGUUUUGAGCGAAUCCUGAUGUAUUGUUAAAUAACCAUGAAAACUGCUGGUUUGAUCUUCAUCCCAAGCUGCCAAAAAGAAGCUCGUGAGAUUAAUUUUAGAGCGAGACUAAAUACGCGUCGAUAUAUUGGUUAACAUGCUGUUUAUUGUUCUAAAAUAGUGAAAGUAAAUGAUAAAAAGCGAAAGUAAAUUGACCGUAUAAUUUUAUGUAAACAAUGUAUGUGAUAUAACCAAUGAACCAAUGUAAACAACAGUCAUUGAUGCACCAAAUGAGAUUAACGAAUAAGUUUUUCAUCAUUUCUAAAUUUAUUUCGCCACACAUGCUCAUGGAGACAUGAUGUAAAUAAAGCACCAUUAGUCCCAUGUUGUCACUUCAGUUUCUUUUUGGUGAACAUCUAUCGCCUUUCUAUAGUCCCUGUAUGGGAUGUUUCAUCGCUGAGAUUAUCGAAAUACAAUGAAUAAUUGACAACUUUAGGAGUGAAAAAGUUGCUAGGACCCACACAGGAAAACCACCCAUCGGAUAUCAAACAUGUUCCCAGCGAUAAGGGAGCCAAAGUGUUUCGUGUGCGAUCGGAGGCCUCAACCAGGCAGCAUUUUCCUGUACCCCUUUCCACUGUACCAAACACCCAAUGCCCUUAAUGCCAGUUCGGUGUUAUUUCUAUUGAAUAUAUUUAGAUUCGUCUACUUCUACGGCAACAGCACAUCCUGCAUCAUCGAAUCCACCGAGUUUUGGCUGUGGAUGGGCUUCCAAGUGCUGCUUAUAGACAUCUGUAAGGAAAAUGCACCAGUGAGGCAUUGUGUUAUGUAUCGCUUACUUAUUAAUCAUUUCGUUCUGGAGGUAGUCUCUUGCAUAUACAUUAGUUGAGUGGAGGCGCAAUGGCCCAGUGGUUAGGGCAGCAGACUCACGGUCAUAGGAUCGCGGUUUCGAUUCCCAGACCGGGCGUUGUGAGUGUUUAUUGAGCGAAAACACCCAAAGCUCCACGAGGCUCCGGCAGGGGAUGGUGGCGAACCCCGCUGUACUCUUUCACCACAACUUUCUCUCACUCUUCCUGUUUCUGUUGUGCCUGUAUUUCAAAGGGCCAGCCUUGUCACGCUGAAUAUCCCCGAGAACUACGUUAAGGGUACACGUGUCUUGCGCGUUAAUUUCACGUGCAGGCUGUUCCGUUGAUCGGAUCAACUGGAAUCCUCGACGUCGUAAGCGACGGAGUGCCAACAACAAUACAUUAGUUGAAUCAUAUUUUGGUAGAAUCAAAUGAUUCUUCUCAAAUAGAAUCAAAUGAUUCUUCUCAAAUAGCUCAAGUGAAUCGACAGGAACAACGCCGACGCUUCCCGUCGACUUUUUCUGAACAGCUCAAUAAUCGUACAGAGUUUAUUGCAUUACUCGCGUGUAACCGUGUUGGCUAUCGUGCGUCGACAUGCAAGCCGCCGAAUUGCCUCCUCAGCAGCGUUUGUUGUUGGGUAUAAUACACUGGGAUGAUGUACCUCAGCUGCUAUUUCUGAAAUAUUUAGCAUAUCACUGGAAGGAACUAUACAAGUUGGUACUUGUGGAUGUGACAUAAUGAGGGAGUUCAUUAUGUUCUUUCUGCCGCAAUAUAUUUUCACUUAGAACAUUUUUUUUUUUAGGGACACUGAACUACACGACACCCGAUAUAUUUAUGUAUCUAUAAACCUGUACACACUGUAAAUUAUUUUCCAGUUGUCGACCUUGUACAUUCAUGUAAAUGACUUGUGUCAAGUCAAUAAUUGUUUACAUUUCAAUUAAUUAGAUCCUCUCCGUCGACUACAUUAAAUAUGAUGGUUAUUAUAAUCGGUUACCUGGGAGAGAGGUGAACCGAACAGGAUGAACUGUUAGAUAAUAAUAAUUAAAAUGGGUUGGUUAGCGCUUCAAUCCACACGACCCAAACUGCUAUCGUCAUGUUUAUAACAAGAGUAGCAUCAGAAGCAAAUUAAGUGAUUCCAUAUUAAAAUUUAACACCACACUGGCAGACCUUUUAUAAAUAAAUAGUUUGUUGUUUUGGUGGUGUCACUGCUAUUCGAGUAUUAAGAAAAAAAAAUUACAUAAGUAUUUACCAACAACAGAUUUAAAACAAAGUUAUUAGAAGAAAUAGUAUAGAAAUAAACAAAAUAUAAAUAGUACGGAGCGUUAUUCAUUUAGAAAGAUAUUUUUUAUUGUGCGAUUGUUAGUGCUUUUGUGUUUCAUUGUUGGCAAAUGUAGCAUGCAUGCAUGAUCAUACAACUUUUAGUAUCUGUAUGUAAUGUAGAAAAAGGAGAGAGAGAGAGAGAGAGAAAAAGAAAAAGAGAAAGAGAGUGUGUGUGAUGAAUUUGCUGAGGUCAUCAAGAUCAUUGCUGAAAUCCGGUCAGGAUCAAAGGGAGAUAACUUGCCUACUCCUAAACAAUGUAGUGACGGCAGUUUCCCAUUUCUCAACAUGUUGCCGACUCACAGAAUUAACGCACACUUCUCGCUAAGCAUUAAUUAAAUAAGUAAACACACGCACGAGAUGAAAAAAUUUAGUGCGCAUAUACACAUACACAUACACACACUGAAAUCUGGCUAAAGCUAGAGAACAUUCUAUUAAUAUAUCUUACACAGCUAAAGUUCGUUUUCAUUUCUACCCAAUUCAAUUAUCUUCCUGUUGACAUUUUACCCGGAAGUAGAGAUGAGAAACACCUCCAACAUAACAAAAAUAUAAAUACCUGAGUGUGUUUAUUAAUUCGCUUUACUAAAUUAUCAG